rnacentral:snRNA from 1 species
AUUCUUCUUGGCUAAGGAUAUUUACUGAUCAGGAAGGGCGAUUUCCCAAAGCAAGGCCCCUCAAUGCACAGGAGUGUGCCAACUCCUAUGAUUUGCCCAAUUAAAGGAAUACUCAGCUGCAUAAUUUCUGGUAAUGACCAAACAUCC